AAUUCACCCAGUGAGAGUCAGAUGCAACCCAAUGUUAUACCAAUACAAUAAAAAAACAGCAGGAUCUUAUUAAAGGGGAAAAGGCAAAAUACCACAUUUAUUGUGAAUACAGAAAGAAUCAUAUUAAUCAGUAAUAGCUAUAACAUUCCAUUCAAUCUC